AUCUAUAAAUGUAAAUAUACAUUUGAAUCUAGUUCCUAUAACAUAUUCUUUAGUAUGGACACGAGGUGCAUUGCUUUGGAAUGAUGACCUUAUUUAUUUGCUGUAUGCUGGGAUAUGAUUUUUUUCAUGUUGAGCUGAAUAAUACAUUUAGAUUAAUGGCCUAGAUUGGUGAACAUUUUUCAAUUGCUAGUUUUAAUUUAUAUGAUUUUCUCUGUUUAAGUGCCUAUAUGACUGGUAAUUAUGUGUUUAAAAAAAAAGGGGGAAAUACGUUUGGUCUGAUUCAAUAGGAUCAUCCAAGUCCACAAGCAAACUAGAAAUGCAACGACAACUUAACUGUGUAGAUGAAUCUCAGUAAUUGGAAUCGGGAGAUCCAUGUAUGUCGAAUUGGACAGGGGUUUUGUGCUUCAAUAUGAUCAUGGAUGAUGGCUAUCUACACGUUGAAGAAUUGCUACUACAGAAUAUGAAUCUGUCAGGCAGUUUAUCUCCAGAGCUUCAUCGCUUAUCUUAUAUGAAAAGAUUGAAUGUUAUGUGGAAUAAGAUAAGUGGAAAUAUACCGAAGGAGAUUGGCAAUAUUACAUCUUUGAUACUCUUGCUCUGAAGUGGAAAUCAACUCACAGGUUCCUUGCCUGAAGAGAUCGGUUAUCUUCCUACUUUAGACAGAAUUCAAAUUGACGAGAACCAAAUAUCUGGUCCAAUACCUAAAUCAUUUGCGAACUUGAACAAAACAAUGCAUUUCCACAUGAAAAACAAUUCAAUUAGUGGGCAAAUCCCUCCUGAACUGUCUAGUCUCCCAGAACUUGUUCACUUGCUACUUGACAAUAACAACUUAUCAGGGUACCUUCCGCCAAAGCUUGCCAAUAUGCCUAAACUACAGAUAGUGUAUGUUUUCUUGCUUCUGUGGUUAUUAGAAUACAAUUUUCACUUUAUUAGCUUUUAAAAUUUUGCAUUUUCUUAAUUAGUUAACUCAAAAUGCUUUUUACAUUUUUGCAAAUAUCACUUUAUAUUUAUUGUAUAUACUACUUGAAUAUAUAUAUAUAUAUAUAUAUGAGAAUAUAGGUUGCUAAAACAUUGUAGGUAUUUUAUUUAUUUAUAUUUUUUUUGCGACGGUAACAAGAUGGUCGCUAAUACAUUGUAGGUAUUUUUUUAAUUUUUUUGCGACGGCAAAAUAUUAGUCGCGAUAAGUAGAUUAGGCGGUCGCAAAUAGUUUGCGACUGCUAUUUUGCGGUCGCAAAAAGUAUUUGCCACCCCCACAUUCGCGACCCCCAUUUGCCGUCGCAUGGGCCGUCGCAAAAAGUCUUUUGCGACUGUUUUUUAUUAUUUGCGACGGUUUAUAGCGGUCGC